rnacentral:rRNA from 1 species
AAACUAACAAGGAUUCCCCUAGUAACGGCGAGUGAAGCGGGAAGAGCUCAAAUUUGUAAUCUGGCACCUUCGGUGUCCGAGUUGUAAUCUCGAGAAGUGUUUUCCGCGCCAGACCGCAUACAAGUCUGUUGGAAUACAGCGUCAUAGUGGUGAGAACCCCGUAUAUGAUGCGGAUGCCUGGUGCUCUGUGAUACACUUUCGAAGAGUCGAGUUGUUUGGGAAUGCAGCUCAAAUUGGGUGGUAAAUUCCAUCUAAAGCUAAAUAUUGGCGAGAGACCGAUAGCGAACAAGUACCGUGAGGGAAAGAUGAAAAGCACUUUGGAAAGAGAGUUAACAGUACGUGAAAUUGUUGGAAGGGAAACGCUUGAAGUCAGACUUGCUAUUUGGAAUUCAGCCGCAAGGUGUACUUUUCAAUUUGCAGGCCAGCAUCAGUUUUUGGGGAUGGAAAAGGAUUAGGAGAAGGUAGCAGUUUCGGCUGUGUUAUAGCUCUUAAUUGGAUUCAUCCCUGGGGACUGAGGAACGCAGCUUCGGCUUAGGAUGCUGGUGGAAUGGCUUUAAACGAC